CGUGUAGGCGGCCACUUAAGUCCUGCGUGAAAUCUCGGGGCUCAACCCCGAGCGGUCGUGGGAAACUGGGUGGCUAGAGUGCGGGAGAGGAGAGUGGAAUUCCUGGUGUAGCGGUGGAAUGCGCAGAUAUCAGGAAGAACACCCGUGGCGAAGGCGGCUCUCUGGAACGCAACUGACGCUGAGACGCGAAAGCGUGGGGAGCAAACA
rnacentral:rRNA from 1 species